rnacentral:ncRNA from 1 species
CAGCACUUGCUGAAAAUUAGUCGCCUUGGGUUGGGCUAGUAGGUUUAUCUCCGUGAGGAAUUUCUCGAAAGCUCGAUAGACAAAUAUAAG